GAGCAAGUAAUGCAUCCUAGUGUGGUCACCAUGGUUGUUGUAAAAAUUGGCUCAAGUGCUGAACCACAUAGGAAAUAUCAUGAUGCGUAAGAUUUAAGUACAAUAAUCUGCCUACAAGUCGUCUAUUUUGCUCUGGAUUCAUGAUAAGAUCCUUGUUUCAUUGUUGAGCUUCAAGGACUUAGGCAUUGGAAAUUCCUUGAUUUUAG
rnacentral:misc_RNA from 1 species